rnacentral:rRNA from 1 species
UACCAGCACCCCGAGUGGUCGGGACGUUUAUUGGGCCUAAAGCAUCCGUAGCCGGUUCUACAAGUCUUCCGUUAAAUCCACCUGCUUAACAGAUGGGCUGCGGAAGAUACUAUAGAGCUAGGAGGCGGGAGAGGCAAGCGGUACUCGAUGGGUAGGGGUAAAAUCCGUUGAUCCAUUGAAGACCACCAGUGGCGAAGGCGGCUUGCCAGAACGCGCUCGACGUUGAGGGACGAAGGCCUGGGGAGCAAACAGG